AUAAGUUGCCCUCUGGAAAUGCAUCUCUCUGCUGGGUGUUCAGGGAGCUAAAAUGACUGGCUCAGACCUGAGGCUGCCUCUCAGGUGGAUAGAGUUAGACAUUUGAGACUAUAAAAGCUGAAACACCAGCAGAUGGAGACAAACCCUGUUAUCAAACCAGCCCAGUUGAGCAGGACCUGUAGGAUUUGCAGCUUUUCUCCAGGAAGCUGAGGUGGAAAUCUGAAGGAAGAACACCUUUUAUGAAAUGUGAAACAUGAAAAAAGUCAUAAGUGGAUCCAGAACCAUUUUGCUUCCAUGAAAUGCCAAAAGAAGAAGUUUCCUUGCUGUCCAUAUCAUCUCUUCUUUGCUGGCCAGGGAGGAUGAUGCUGAAGACGUCUCUGUUUGAUCAGUUGAAUUUCCACCCAUACAGCUGGAUUUUUGUCCUUUGGUUGAGGCUGGAGCUUUGCUUACUUCUUCAGAGACUGCCCUAACCAAGGUCAGCA